CAUGUCUUAAAGAAUAUAAUUUUAAGUCUAAUCUGCUCCAUGAAAAAUUUUAAAUAGCUGCAGGAAACUGUACAAAGGUAGCAUAAUCAAUAGUUUCUUAAUUGGAUGCUGGAAUGAACGAUUUGAUAAGGUAAAUAUUGUCUCAAUUUUAAUAAAAUUAAAAUUUUUUUUUUAGUAAAAAAACUAAAAUGAAUUUAAAAGACGAGAAGACCCUAAAGAUUUUAAUAAAUUUUAAUUAAAAGAAAAUUUUAAAUUAAUGAUAAAUUUUAAUUAAUAAUUUAUUUAGUUGGGGAAAUUGUUAUAUUAAAUUAAUUUUAAUAAGAAAUGAACAAAAAUUGUUGAAAUUAAAAAUUGAUCUUAAUUAUAAAUCUAGAGAAAAAAAUACCUUAGGGAUAACAGCGUAAUUUUUUUGGAGAGAUCUUAUUAAUAAAAAAGUUUGCGACCUCGAUGUUGAAUUAAGAUUAAAUUUUAAUGAAGAAAUUAAAAAUUUUUGGUCUGUUCGACCAUUAAAAUCUUACGU
rnacentral:rRNA from 1 species